rnacentral:tRNA from 1 species
CCUUGGGUGGUACAAAUGGUUAGUGAGCUUGCCUUCUAACCAAAUGGUUGGUGGUUCAAGUCCACCCAGAAGCA